CGCCAGGGAUUAGCAAUGCUAAAAGUAGUGGAGGGAGAAACUUGAAGGACUGAGCUCCACAUGAGGUUUCUCCCCCGAGACUUGCUCUGGAGACCCCAUUUCCAUUGGGGACAGGAGCCUUUCAGCAUCUUCAGGAGCUCUUUGGGCUGAGCAAGUUCAGCAGAGGCCACAGUCAGGGCACAUGAAAGGCGACAGUGUCUGGUUCUCUGGGGCUCACAUCACCUCCAUUUUCCUUUCCGAGGGAAGAACAGGGGAAAGGGAAAGUGAUGAACAAAGCACUCAGUGACACCAAUCGGGCCGUAGGUGAUAAGGGGAGAAAGAGCUCAGAGCUCUGCAGCCUCUAAUUGAUGGGCCUUCGGGGAACUGCUGAGAAUUGGCUCAGGCUGAGCUGUGUCAGCCACAAGGAGGGACAAGAGGAACAGGAGGAUAACGGAGGUUUGAGGGGGUCUCGUGGGGUUAGGGAGCACCUACCAAGGAAUGCUUGUGAGGCUGUGCAGCCUCCAGCCUUGGAGUUCUCCAAAAGCCUUCUGGAUCGGGAGAUGAACAGUGACCCCAGAGAGCUGAGGACACCUCGGGAGGGUGAGAAACCUCAGCGGGGAAGAAGCCCCUGAGCUCCCAAGCGCCCAGGCCUGGGAGUGCAGCAGAGCUGGCCAUUGCAGCUGCGGAGGUGAGGCUCCAGUGCGAGCUGAGCGGGAACAGCCCCUUCCCAUCAGUGAGGCCGCAGGGGCACGGGAUGCUCCCAGUGCCAACGGCUGAGGGAGCCUCGGGGGCUGCUGCUGGAGGAGCGACAAACGCACACGGAGCAUUUCAGGCACGGCAAGGACAGGGCACUGCUCUGCCUGCUCCCGCCGCCGCUUCCUUUGCUCCCGCCCACAGGCGUUCCCGGCAGCUCUGCUCUCUCGGCGCUCGGACGUGCUUUGGGCUCUUCCUCACUCGGCAAACACGCAGCUUGGUCUCGCCAUGCACCUGGCACAUCUCAUCCUCACCGUCUUCCUGGGCCAGCUCCUGGGCACCACGGGGCAGGACACGGUCACCCAGGACGAUGGACCAGUCACGGUGGAGCAGGGACACCCCUUCCACACCACCUGCAAAUACCACACCAGUGGUUUUAGGGCAUUGCUGUGGUACCAGGUGCGGAAAGGCCAAGCCCCAGAGCUGGUCUCCUAUCAGGCAGGGCCUGGCCCCAGGCGCAGCGGCCGGAUCACCACGCACCUGAACACCACGAGAAAAUCCAGUGUCCUGCAGCUGGAGAAAGUGGAGCUCUCUGACACUGCCUUGUACCUCUGUGCUGUGCAAGGCACCCUGGUGCAGGGAGCUUCCUCAGCUGUGCAACAAGCCAGGGCAGGGAGGGGAUGUGUCAGUGCAAGGCUGAGCUUGGGGAAGGGACUCUGAUCUCACCCUGAUGCUCAGCAGAAGUUGCAUCCCCAUGUGUGUUCAAUGGUCUGAUGGUUUGGACAGCGUUCAUCCCAGCACUUCCAUUGGGAAAGUGCUUUGGACUAUUUUGACUCAUUUCCACAUUGUGCAGUCUCUCAGGAAAAGGAAAGAAGAAUAUCCCCUGUGCUCGCCUGGGAGCCUGUCCUUCCACACUGCAGCCCUGCUGCUUUUGGCCCCACAUGUGCUCAGCAGAGCCCAGGGCUGGCUGUGUGUUGCUGCCUUGGGUGCCCUUGGAGCAGCCCCGUUUGCAUGGACACACGUGAAGCACGGAUUUGUCCGGGGCUCCGCUCCGGAGAGCACGGCCCUGUGUGUGUCCGUGUGCGUCCCUGAUCGGGAGGGAAUGUCCCGACCGUGGCAGGGCCAGCGAGCACUGCCCUGGCCCUGCCCAGCCCAGAGCAGCAGCUGCCCAGGCUCACAAGCAGCCCGAGUGCAGCUGGCUGGGGCCGGCAGCUGCCCGCUGCAGGUGUGCGCAGGGCGGAUCCGCUUCCCGCGCGGUGCCGCUGGUGUGUGCGAUGGGACACGGCUGUCUCUUGUCGCCGGCCGUGCCCAAGGUGCUCGUGUCGCUCGUAGUGCCGGUGCCGUGAGAGGCGGGGCUGAGCCCCGGGGCGGAGCUGGCGGCGGCCCAGAGGAGGCGGCACGGCCGCAGCAGAGCCGGGGCUCAGGGGCACAGCGAGGCUCGGCCGGCGGAGCGGCGCCAUGCGGCGGGCUCGGGCCGCGGGGCUGCCGGCGCUGGCCGCGCUGCUGCUCGGUGCGUUUUGGGUGCCGCAGGGACCUUCGGGUCAGCGGGCUGUGUGAGAUCGGCCCCUGCUCAAGAUUCAUCUCUUACCCUCCUGUUCCUUUUCGAUUCUUUUUUACCCUCUGUCCCUUUCUCUACCCUCACCUUUUCUUCUCUCUGUAAAUCAUUGCUUUCCACGCUGCCUUUUGUCUUCUAUUUCUGUAUCCAUCCAUACAUUCCUCGUUGCAAAUCAAUGUUCCCCUCCCUUUCUGCCCUUAAAAAAUUUCAAUUCUCCUUCAAAACAUCCGUCAUUAAUUCUUGUCCCUUGCUAAAGCCUCUCAGAGAAACAAACUCCUCAUUCUUUAUUAUCAGAACGCAUCCCAGUUAACGCUGCUCUGUCUGUGCCGUAUCCGACUGCAUGGCAUUUUCUGAUAAAGAAAAGUGAUUGUGCUUUUC